rnacentral:lncRNA from 1 species
UGCGAUUCAGCGAUUUUAUAUUGAAUUACAAUUCGAAUUUCAAGUUUAGCCCUGAAUUUAUAAAGUAUAAUUUUCUUUCUACACUAUAAAUUGGUAAUUAAAUUAAAAUAUGGUCGUUUGGCCAAAAAAAAUUAAAAUAUGGUCUAUAUACAUUUAUUCUUUUCUCUUGGCAGUUCACGAAAAUUAUACACAGCAUUGAACACCUGAUAAUAAUACACAGCAUUGACAUAGUGACCUUCAAAAUUUACUACGAAAAGUAGAAACCUAUAUAAUAUGAUCCCACCAUCUUAAUUGUAAUAUGAUCCCACCAUCUUAAUUGUACUUUUUAUACGAGAAUGAUACGGUACAUCUAUAUAUACGCUUUCGAAUUGUUAUAUAUCCUAUCUCAAACUCAGAGACAAACAAAUCUAUGUGAAUGAAAAUUAAAGAAAAUUCAAUGUUGCCUACGAAUACGACAUGACAAU